rnacentral:rRNA from 1 species
GUGCCAGCAGCCGCGGUAAUACGUAGGGUCCGAGCGUUGUCCGGAAUUAUUGGGCGUAAAGAGCUCGUAGGCGGUUUGUCGCGUCUGCUGUGAAAACUAGAGGCUCAACCUCUAGCCUGCAGUGGGUACGGGCAGACUGGAGUGCGGUAGGGGAGAAUGGAAUUCCUGGUGUAGCGGUGGAAUGCGCAGAUAUCAGGAGGAACACCGAUGGCGAAGGCAGUUCUCUGGGCCGUAACUGACGCUGAGGAGCGAAAGCGUGGGGAGCGAACAGGAUUAGAUACCCUGGUAGUCC